rnacentral:rRNA from 1 species
GGGCUGCGGUAUUAUGACCGUGCUAAGGUAGCAUAAUCAUUAGCCUUUUGAUUGAAGGCUGGAAUGAAAGGUGUGAUGAAAAGUAAGCUGUUUCUUAGAUAAAUAUUGAAUUUUACUUUUAAGUGAAAAGGCUUAAAUGUUAAUAAGGGACGAUAAGACCCUAUAAAACUUAAUAUAAGUGGGUGAUUGUAAUAUUAAUGUAUACAGGCAGUCAGGUUAACUUUAUUUAGUUGGGGCGACUAAGAUAUAAAGAGUAGCUGUUUAAGUUAGACAAAUAAGAUAAUUUGACAUGAAACCCUUUAAAUAAGGAUUAAAAAAAAGUUACUUUAGGGAUAACAGCGUAAUUUUUUCUGAGAGUUCUUAUCGAAGAAAGUAGUUGCGACCUCGAUGUUGAAUUAAAAUUUUUACUAAACGCAGGAGUUUAAAAAAUAAGUCUGUUCGACUUUUAAAAUUU